AUACGGAGGGUGCAAGCGUUACUCGGAAUCACUGGGCGUAAAGCGCGCGCAGGCGGGCUGAUAAGUUGGAUGUGAAAGCCUACGGCUCAACCGUAGAACUGCAUCCAAAACUGUCAGUCCAGAGUGUGGGAGAGGAAGAUGGAAUUAGUUGUGUAGGGGUGAAAUCCGUAGAGAUAACUAGGAAUACCAAAAGCGAAGGCAAUCUUCUGGAACACUACUGACGCUGAGGCGCGAAGGCGUGGGGAGCAAACAGGAUUAGAAACCCCAGUAGUCC
rnacentral:rRNA from 1 species